rnacentral:rRNA from 1 species
GGUGAACGCUGGCGGCGUGCCUAAUACAUGCAAGUCGAGCGAACGGACGAGAAGCUUGCUUUUCUGAUGUUAGCGGCGGACGGGUGAGUAACACGUGGAUAACCUACCUAUAAGACUGGGAUAACUUCGGGAAACCGGAGCUAAUACCGGAUAAUAUUUUGAACCGCAUGGUUCAAAAGUGAAAGACGGUCUUGCUGUCACUUAUAGAUGGAUCCGCGCUGCAUUAGCUAGUUGGUAAGGUAACGGCUUACCAAGGCAACGAUGCAUAGCCGACCUGAGAGGGUGAUCGGCCACACUGGAACUGAGACACGGUCCAGACUCCUACGGGAGGCAGCAGUAGGGAAUCUUCCGCAAUGGGCGAAAGCCUGACGGAGCAACGCCGCGUGAGUGAUGAAGGUCUUCGGAUCGUAAAACUCUGUUAUUAGGGAAGAACAUAUGUGUAAGUAACUGUGCACAUCUUGACGGUACCUAAUCAGAAAGCCACGGCUAACUACGUGCCAGUAGCCGCGGUAAUACGUAGGUGGCAAGCGUUAUCCGGAAUUAUUGGGCGUAAAGCGCGCGUAGGCGGUUUUUUAAGUCUGAUGUGAAAGCCCACGGCUCAACCGUGGAGGGUCAUUGGAAACUGGAAAACUUGAGUGCAGAAGAGGAAAGUGGAAUUCCAUGUGUAGCGGUGAAAUGCGCAGAGAUAUGGAGGAACACCAGUGGCGAAGGCGACUUUCUGGUCUGUAACUGACGCUGAUGUGCGAAAGCGUGGGGAUCAAACAGGAUUAGAUACCCUGGUAGUCCACGCCGUAAACGAUGAGUGCUAAGUGUUAGGGGGUUUCCGCCCCUUAGUGCUGCAGCUAACGCAUUAAGCACUCCGCCUGGGGAGUACGACCGCAAGGUUGAAACUCAAAGGAAUUGACGGGGACCCGCACAAGCGGUGGAGCAUGUGGUUUAAUUCGAAGCAACGCGAAGAACCUUACCAAAUCUUGACAUCCUUUGACAACUCUAGAGAUAGAGCCUUCCCCUUCGGGGGACAAAGUGACAGGUGGUGCAUGGUUGUCGUCAGCUCGUGUCGUGAGAUGUUGGGUUAAGUCCCGCAACGAGCGCAACCCUUAAGCUUAGUUGCCAUCAUUAAGUUGGGCACUCUAAGUUGACUGCCGGUGACAAACCGGAGGAAGGUGGGGAUGACGUCAAAUCAUCAUGCCCCUUAUGAUUUGGGCUACACACGUGCUACAAUGGACAAUACAAAGGGCAGCGAAACCGCGAGGUCAAGCAAAUCCCAUAAAGUUGUUCUCAGUUCGGAUUGUAGUCUGCAACUCGACUACAUGAAGCUGGAAUCGCUAGUAAUCGUAGAUCAGCAUGCUACGGUGAAUACGUUCCCGGGUCU